AAGGGUAUGGCUGUUCGCCAUUUAAAGUGGUACGUGAGCUGGGUUCAGAACGUCGCGAGACAGUUUGGUCCCUAUCUGCCGUGGGCGUCGAUACUUGAAAGGAGUUGCCCCUAGUACGAGAGGACCGGGGUGAACGUACCUCUGGUGUACCUGUCAUUCUGCCAAGAGUGCCGCAGGGUAGCUAUGUACGGACGGGAUAACCGCUGAAAGCAUCUAAGCGGGAAGCCUCCCUCAAGAUAAGU
rnacentral:rRNA from 1 species